rnacentral:tRNA from 1 species
GAGGUUGUGGCUCAGUGGUAGAGUGCUCGCCUAGCAUGUGUGAGGCACUGGGUUUGAUCCUCAGCACCACA